GUCGUGACUGCGUGCCUUUUGAAGAAUGAGCCUGCGAGUUAGCGGUGUGUAGCGAGGUUAACCCGUGUGGGGAAGCCGUAGCGAAAGCGAGUCCGAAUAGGGCGAUUGAGUUGCACGCUCUAGACCCGAAGCGGAGUGAUCUAGCCAUGGGCAGGUUGAAGCGGAGGUAAGACUUCGUGGAGGACCGAACCCACCAGGGUUGAAAACCUGGGGGAUGACCUGUGGUUAGGGGUGAAAGGCCAAUCAAACUCCGUGAUAGCUGGUUCUCCCCGAAAUGCAUUUAGGUGCAGCGUCGUGUGUUUCUUGCCGGAGGUAGAGCACUGGAUAGGCGAUGGGCCCUACCGGGUUACUGACCUUAGCCAAACUCCGAAUGCCGGUAAGUGAGAGCACGGCAGUGAGACUGUGGGGGAUAAGCUCCAUGGUCGAGAGGGAAACAGCCCAGAGCAUCGACUAAGGCCCCUAAGCGUACGCUAAGUGGGAAAGGAUGUGGAGUCGCAGAGACAACCAGGAGGUUGGCUUAGAAGCAGCCACCCUUGAAAGAGUGCGUAAUAGCUCACUGGUCAAGUGAUUCCGCGCCGACAAUGUAGCGGGGCUCAAGCGUACCGCCGAAGUCGUGUCAUUGCAGCAAUAGGGCCAACGCCCGCUGUGAUGGGUAGGGGAGCGUCGUGUGCCGGGUGAAGCAGCAGCGGAAGCUAGUUGUGGACGGUUCACGAGUGAGAAUGCAGGCAUGAGUAGCGAUACACACGUGAGAAACGUGUGCGCCGAUUGACUAAGGGUUCCUGGGUCAAGCUGAUCUGCCCAGGGUAAGUCGGGACCUAAGGCGAGGCCGACAGGCGUAGUCGAUGGACAACCGGUUGAUAUUCCGGUACCCGCUUUGAAACGCCCAAUAUCGAAUCAGGCGAUGCUAAGUCCGUGAAGCCGUUCCGGACCCUUCGGGGAAAGGAAAGUGGUGGAGCCGACGAACCAGACUUGUAGUAGGUAAGCGAUGGGGUGACGCAGGAAGGUAGUCCAGCCCGGGCGGUGGUUGUCCCGGGGUAAGGGUGUAGGCCGAGGGGUAGGCAAAUCCGUCCCUCAUUAAGGCUGAGACCUGAUGCCGAGCCGAUUGUGGUGAAGUGGAUGAUCCUAUGCUGUCGAGAAAAGCCUCUAGCGAGUUUCAUGGCGGCCCGUACCCUAAACCGACUCAGGUGGUCAGGUAGAGAAUACCGAGGCGUUCGGGUGAACUAUGGUUAAGGAACUCGGCAAAAUGCCCCCGUAACUUCGGGAGAAGGGGGGCCAUCACUGGUGAUCGGACUUGCUCCGUGAGCUGGGGGUGGCCGCAGAGACCAGCGAGAAGCGACUGUUUACUAAAAACACAGGUCCGUGCGAAGCCGUAAGGCGAUGUAUACGGACUGACGCCUGCCCGGUGCUGGAACGUUAAGGGGACCGGUUAGUGACCUUUCGGGGUUGCGAAGCUGAGAACUUAAGCGCCAGUAAACGGCGGUGGUAACUAUAACCAUCCUAAGGUAGCGAAAUUCCUUGUCGGGUAAGUUCCGACCUGCACGAAUGGCGUAACGACUUCUCGACUGUCUCAACCAUAGGCCCGGUGAAAUUGCACUACGAGUAAAGAUGCUCGUUUCGCGCAGCAGGACGGAAAGACCCCGGGACCUUUACUACAGUUUGAUAUUGGUGUUCGGUUCGGCUUGUGUAGGAUAGGUGGGAGACUUUGAAGCCGUGACGCCAGUCAUGGUGGAGUCGCCGUUGAAAUACCACUCUGGUCGUGCUGGAUGUCUAACCUCGGUCCGUGAUCCGGAUCAGGGACAGUGUCUGAUGGGUAGUUUAACUGGGGCGGUUGCCUCCCAAAGGGUAACGGAGGCGCCCAAAGGUUCCCUCAGCCUGGUUGGCAAUCAGGUGUUGAGUGUAAGUGCACAAGGGAGCUUGACUGUGAGACCGACGGGUCGAGCAGGGACGAAAGUCGGGACUAGUGAUCCGGCGGUGGCUUGUGGAAGCGCCGUCGCUCAACGGAUAAAAGGUACCCCGGGGAUAACAGGCUGAUCUUCCCCAAGAGUCCAUAUCGACGGGAUGGUUUGGCACCUCGAUGUCGGCUCGUCGCAUCCUGGGGCUGGAGUCGGUCCCAAGGGUUGGGCUGUUCGCCCAUUAAAGCGGUACGCGAGCUGGGUUUAGAACGUCGUGAGACAGUUCGGUCCCUAUCCGCUGUGCGCGUAGGAAUAUUGAGAAGGGCUGUCCCUAGUACGAGAGGACCGGGACGGACGAACCUCUGGUGUGCCAGUUGUCCUGCCAAGGGCAUGGCUGGUUGGCUACGUUCGGGAGGGAUAACCGCUGAAAGCAUCUAAGCGGGAAGCCUGCUUCAAGAUGAGUAUUCCCACCUCCUUGAGAGGGUAAGGCUCCCAGUAGACGACUGGGUUGAUAGGCCAGAUGUGGAAGCCCGGUAACGGGUGGAGCUGACUGGUACUAAUAGGCCGAGGGCUUGUCC
rnacentral:rRNA from 1 species